GGCUCCUUGUAGUUAUUAAAUAAGGAGUCGGACCUGCCCAGUGAAUUUUUUCAACGGCCGCGGUACUCUGACCGUGCAAAGGUAGCAUAAUCAUUUGCCUUAUAAUUGAAGGCUUGUAUGAAUGGUUUGACAAGAAUGUAACUGUCUCUUUAUAAUUAAACAGAAUUUUAUUUAUAGGUGAAGAAGCCUAUAUUAUAUUGAAAGACAAGAAGACCCUAUCGAGCUUUAAAAGAAUUAAUAAAUUUUAAAUAUUUAAUACUAUGUAAAAAAUUAAUUAUUAAAAAUUUUGGUUGGGGCGACUAAGGAACAAACAAAGCUUCCUUUUUUUAAAAAACAAUCAAGUAGUGAUCCAAAAAUUUUGAUUAAAGAAUUUAGUUACCGUAGGGAUAACAGCAUUAUCUUUUUUAAGAGCUCUAAUCGAAAAAAAGGUUUGUGACCUCGAUGUUGGACCAGAAUAUCCCGAAGAUGCAGCCGUCUUCAAAGGUUGGUCUGUUCGACCAUUAAAAUUCU
rnacentral:rRNA from 1 species